GUCCACACCGUAAACGUUGGGCGCUAGGUGUGGGAUCCAUUCCACGGGUUCCGUGCCGCAGCUAACGCUUUAAGCGCCCCGCCUGGGGAGUACGGCCGCAAGGCUAAAACUCAAAGGAAUUGACGGGGGCCCGCACAAGCGGCGGAGCAUGCGGAUUAAUUCGAUGCAACGCGAAGAACCUUACCUGGGUUUGACAUGCACCGGACCGCGUCAGAGAUGGCGCUUCUUUUGUCGGUGUGCAGGUGGUGCAUGGCUGUCGU
rnacentral:rRNA from 1 species